GGACCAUUAGCUCAGUUGGUUAGAGCAACCGGCUCAUAACCGGUUGGUCCAAGGUUCGAGUCCUUGAUGGUCCA
rnacentral:tRNA from 1 species